rnacentral:rRNA from 1 species
ACACGACUACGUAGUUUGACUCCUGGCUACAGAACGAACGCUGGCGGCAGGCCUAACACAUGCAAGUCGAGCGAGGUAGCAAUACCUAGCGGCGGACGGGUGAGUAACGCGUGGGAACGUACCCUUUGCUACGGAAUAGCCCCGGGAAACUGGGAGUAAUACCGUAUGUGCCCUUCGGGGGAAAGAUUUAUCGGCAAAGGAUCGGCCCGCGUUGGAUUAGGUAGUUGGUGGGGUAAUGGCCUACCAAGCCGACGAUCCAUAGCUGGUUUGAGAGGAUGAUCAGCCACACUGGGACUGAGACACGGCCCAGACUCCUACGGGAGGCAGCAGUGGGGAAUCUUAGACAAUGGGCGCAAGCCUGAUCUAGCCAUGCCGCGUGAGUGAUGAAGGCCUUAGGGUUGUAAAGCUCUUUCAGAUGGGAAGAUAAUGACGGUACCAUCAGAAGAAGCCCCGGCUAACUCCGUG